rnacentral:rRNA from 1 species
UAAUUGACGAGUUUGAUCCUGGCUCAGAACGAACGCUGGCGGCGUGGCUAAGGCAUGCAAGUUGUACGGGCCGUUUAU